rnacentral:lncRNA from 1 species
CAAGCACACUUGUCUUAUGACUAUGAUAAAAAAAUAUAAUUUACGAGCCAUUGUGAAAAAUCAGACAAAAAUAUAAAUAGCGAUGUUUUUCAACAAUACAAUUUAACCAGUUCAUUAAAUUAGUGCAUUUGGCUAUUGUAAAAGUAUAGUAAGACCUCUGCUUGGUUAAUUUAAUAAAUGUAAUCUACAAGCCAAAAACAUGUAAUUUAUAAGACAUUAUUUUAUA